rnacentral:lncRNA from 1 species
NNNNNNNNNNNNCUGUCCUGGAACUCACUUUGUAGACCAGGCUGGCCUCGAACUCAGAAAUCUGCCUGCCUCUGCCUCCCAAGUGCUGGGAUUAAAGGUGUGUGCCACCACACCCAGCUUCCACAUCUUUUAAUGUUCUUACCCAUUGUAGUGGCUACUCCUGGUUGUCGACUAUAUCUGCAAUGAACUACCAUCCAGAAUUGGAAGGCUCACCUGUGAUCCAGAUUUUGAGGCUGGGAGAGACAAGUUUCUGACCUGGAUCUUGGCAUGGAGAUCUUGAGGCAGAGUGGCUGUGAAUCCCAGGAGACUAAGGCAAGGAGAUCUCUGAGUUCAAGGUCAUCUGGGACAAAGCAAGUCUUAGAUCCAGGUGUGAUGACACACACCUUUGAUCUGGGCCACACCUUCUGGGAGACCUACAUAAGGACAUUGAAAGGGGGAUUCACUCUUCUACUUGCCUUGUCAACCUUGGACUUCCAUUCACAGCUGACCAUUGUUGGGGAGUUGGACUAGACUGUAAGUCAUCAUAACAAAUUCCCUUAGAAACGACCCAUAAGUUCUGUGACACUAGAUAACUCUGACUGAUACACCCAUAUCCAACAGGGCUUCCUUCUGCCUGGACUUGCUCUCCCUUGUUCUCCCUCCACAAUACAUACUUUCUCUGUGAGGGCUCGGACAGACAGGUUAUAUUAGUCUCGGAGGACUCCCUGGUACACAGAACUCUCAAAAUAAUCUGUUGCUUAAGAACUACUGCACUCUCUGUCCCUCCCUCCCCACCCCUCACAGCUUGUCCCUCCCUUCUGUAUCAUCCACACUUUGAGAAACCAGAAUCUAGUAGCAGAUGGGAUGUGAAUCAGAAAAGAAGGCAGAAUCAGAAAGAGAGGAAGCUUUGCCAAUUGAUGGGGGAAAAAAAACCCCAAAGACAAAAAACAACAGCAACAGAAAAAAAAAAAAAGAACCCUGAGACUAAUGUAGAUGUAGACAGGUUAGUCACUGCCUCGGCCACCUCUGCCCCAUCUGCCAUGUCAACAUCAAAGGAAAAAGCUGACUUCAGGCUUAGGAGGAAGGAUAAGAAUUGAAUCCUGCUGGCACUGUGCUUAUGAGUCUCUGUUUCAACCUCAGCAUCCCGGUGUAGAGAAAGGAGAUGCAGGUCAGGACCACACUGGGAGGCAGAAGCAGGAGGAUCUCUGUGAGCUCCAGGACAGCCAGGGCUACUCAGAGAAAUCCUGUCUCAAAAGACAAAAAGAAAAGUGGUGGUGGGGAUGCCAGCUGGAGCUGAGUGUGUUGGCAUAAAUCCUUAAUCCCAGCAGAUCUCUAUGUUCUAGUCCAGUCUGAUUUACAGGGCGAGCCUUUGGAGUGUAAGCUCCUUGAGCCUGUGACCUCCCCAACAGAAAACAAAAACAAAAAAACCUCCCCAUUUUCUUUUCUUCUGUUUUCCUUUGUUCUUUCACUCAUGCCUUCCCUGAAACAGAGUCUCACUAUACAGCACUAGCUGGUACUCACAGAGAUCUACCUCUGCCUCCUGAGUGCUAGGAUAAAGAUAUCUACCAUUACAGGGCCAGUGGUGGUGCACGCCUUUAAUCCCAGAACUCAGGAGGCAGAGGUAGGCAGAUUUCUGAGUCCAAGGCCAGCCUGGUCUACAGAGUGAGUUCCAGGACAGCCAAGACUACAUAGGUACUGUAGUGGCUAUUCCUGGUUGUCAACUUGACUAUAUUUGGAAUGAACUACAAUCCAGAAUUGGAAGGCUCACCAGUGACCCUUAUCUGGAGGCNNNNNNNNNNNNNNNNNNNNCUCCGAGUUCAUCUGGGAUUAAAGGUGUGGUGGAACACACCUUUAAUCUGGGCUACACCUUCUGCUUGAGACAAUAUAAGGACAUUGGAAGAUGGGAGUCUUGCUCCUUCGCCUGCUUGCUGUGUGAGACUGAGUAACUGCUAGGUCCUUGGUCUUCCAUUCACAACUACUACUGAACCAUUGUUGGGAAUCAGGCUGCAGACUGUAAGUCGUCAAUAAAUUCCUUUAUUAUAUAGAGACUAUCCAUAAGUUCUGUGACUCUAGAGAACCCUGACUAAUACAGGUACACAAAGAAAAACCGUGCCUGAAAAAAACAAAAACAAAGCAAAACAGAAAAAGUGCCACCACACCCAGACUGUAUUAAACAAUGAUUUAUUUAUCUUUAUGUGGGUUUGUCUACAUUCAUGUAUACAUACUUCAUUUGUACUAAGCACCAAGGAAGCCAGAGGAGGUGGGAGUGCUGGGUACUGGGAACUGAACAAGUGCUCAUAACUGUGGAUCCAUCUCUCCAGCCCCCACAUCCUUUUCUAAAGCUAACAUAAGCUGGGCAAAAUGGCAGUCCAGUACUUCUGAACUGUGUAUCUGUAGAUAUAAGUAGUUAUUUCAAAGACUUUUAAUUAUAUUAAUUUAUUGGAGGGGUACACCAUGGAUGGCAUAUGUAGGUCAGAAGACAAGUGACAGGGUUCAUCCUCUCCUUCCACCAUUUGGGUUCUGAGAAUCUAACUUCUCAUGAACUCACAAACGUCACACACACAUACACACACACACACACACACACACACACACACACACAUAAGCAAAAAUAAAUCUAAGCACUCAUGAGGCAGAUCUUUGAAUUUAAGACCAGGCUUGGUCUACAAAGAAAAAAAAGGGCCAGCCACGAUGAAACCCUGUCUC